rnacentral:rRNA from 1 species
UACGUAGGGGGCAAGCGUUGUCCGGAUUUAUUGGGCGUAAAGAGCGUGUAGGCGGCUUUACAGGUCCGUUGUGAAAACUCGAGGCUCAACCUCGAGACGCCGGUGGAAACCGUAAGGCUAGAGUCCGGAAGAGGAGAGUGGAAUUCCUGGUGUAGCGGUGAAAUGCGCAGAUAUCAGGAAGAACACCUAUGGCGAAGGCAGCUCUCUGGGACGGUACUGACGCUGAGACGCGAAAGCGUGGGGAGCGAACAGG